rnacentral:rRNA from 1 species
GAUGAACGCUGGCGGCGUGCUUAACACAUGCAAGUCGAACGGGAUCCAUCAGGCUUUGCUUGGUGGUGAGAGUGGCGAACGGGUGAGUAAUGCGUGACCGACCUGCCCCAUACACCGGAAUAGCUCCUGGAAACGGGUGGUAAUGCCGGAUGCUCCGACUCCUCGCAUGGGGUGUCGGGAAAGAUUUCAUCGGUAUGGGAUGGGGUCGCGUCCUAUCAGGUAGUCGGCGGGGUAACGGCCCACCGAGCCUACGACGGGUAGCCGGCCUGAGAGGGCGACCGGCCACAUUGGGACUGAGAUACGGCCCAGACUCCUACGGGAGGCAGCAGUGGGGAAUAUUGCACAAUGGGCGCAAGCCUGAUGCAGCGACGCCGCGUGCGGGAUGACGGCCUUCGGGUUGUAAACCGCUUUUGAUCGGGAGCAAGCCUUCGGGUGAGUG